GGACAUGCUCUUAUUAUAACAUUCAUAAUUUUCCAACAAAGAUUUAAAGAGAAGUUGCAAAGAGUCUUGACCAUCACAAGGAGAAUGAACCAAAUCCAUGUUGUGUACGUGUUGGAGAUGUUAGUGAAAAUUUAGGUGUUGGUGAAAAUACAUAAAAUGUUCCCAUUAUCUACAUCUGCAUCUUUAAGUCAUCAAAAGACAGCUAUGUAUAAAAGGAGGAUCUACAGGGGAAGAGCUUUUACAAUAUACGAUACUUAUCCGUAAUUCGAUAAGAUUUAUAUAUCACUAUGGGUCUAUUCUCAUCAUUCUAAGUCUCAUGAAAAAGUAAAUAAAGGAUGAAUAAACAGAGGUAUCUCCAAGGUGACUGGCAUCCACAGAAAAGAUUCAAGACAAAACCACUUAUCCAUGCAUUCAAACAUUUAGUGAGAACAUGGAUACUUGGAGCUAAGAAUAGAAAAAAGAAAGCACAGUUCCUGUCCUGAAGGAUGUUUACCUAAAUGGGGAAAAGAGAUAUAAAAAUGGAGCAAUGUGAUUAUGUCUUGUAAAGACUGAAAAAAUGGAGAAGCAGGCUUUCUAUCUCUCAAGUUCAAUAGCUAAGUUCUUCAUGAACGUGAAUUGUUUUGGAAGCAACCGACUUUCAGGUGAACAUUUAUGAUGCUGUAAAGGCGAGCUAGCAAAUCCACUUUUCUAAAAAGAAAACAUGAACUCAGAAAUAUAAAAUGCCUUCUUAAAAUGGACACUAGCGUUUAAUCAGAAAAUUUGUUCCUCCAGUUAGAAUUCUUUAAAAUAUUUUAAAAUCAGAUUGAACGUUUGUUAUAAGCAGUCCUUUCUUAAUCUUGAACCCCAGGGAAAAGGAUUUAAGUCCCAUCCUUUGCCAGACAAAGUUCUGAAAUACCUAUUAGGAAUCCUUAUAUCUGAGUUGGUUUAAGGUUUGUUUUGAUAACUGCCCCAAGUGAUAAAAUGGCUAGUGUGAAAAUUAAUGAUCAUUCACAAAUGUGUUAGUUAAUGAAAUCAAUCAAUGAUAAAGCUGACUAAAUUUCAUAUUCUGAAUCUAUUAUCUUCCUAUUCAUAAAAUUCUUUGUGUAACCCUUGGUAUUUAAGAUGGGAAAUUCAUUGUCUUAUCUUUCAGCUGAAGCAUUUUAUGAAUAAGAUAUAUUUGAUAGUUUCUUAAAACAAAUACAAUUCAAAGGUUUGGAGUGUUGUUUAUGCUUGUUUUCUAUGAUUUUUAGAAAUGAUACUUUCUUAUUUCAUCCACUAAACAAUUAUCUGGAAUUACUCCUGUUUUACUUAUGAAGAUAAAAAACCCUAAGUUAAUUCUUUCCCCAAAGCUUCCACAGCUAGUAAGGAACAAUAAGAGGUUGGGAAUUUCCACAUAGGUGGGGGACAGUUGAACUGGAGAAUGAAAAGGAAUUAAAAGUAGUUUAAAAGGGAUUUAAAAAUAUUCAAGUCAGAAAAAAAAAGUGUGAGCAAAGCUCCAAGAUUUAAAAUCUUUAAAGAAUUAUAUAUUUUUUAAAAUUCCUAAAAGACUAUUAUUUCAAAAAAUUGAUGAAGAGGAGGACCAUCAGAUGUGCGUCCAUGGAACAUCACUUUGACAGAAUUUGGGGGGCAACUGGGUGUGGGAGGUUCCAGUGUUCCUAGGGCAGAAUUAGGACAAAAAGGAAGUUAUCUCCUAUUCUUGCUUAAGACUCACCAUAUACCCCAGUUUGCC
rnacentral:lncRNA from 9 species